rnacentral:rRNA from 1 species
AUUGAACGCUGGCGGCAGGCCUAACACAUGCAAGUCGAGCGGAAACGAGUUAUCUGAACCUUCGGGGAACGAUAACGGCGUCGAGCGGCGGACGGGUGAGUAAUGCCUAGGAAAUUGCCCUGAUGUGGGGGAUAACCAUUGGAAACGAUGGCUAAUACCGCAUAAUGCCUACGGGCCAAAGAGGGGGACCUUCGGGCCUCUCGCGUCAGGAUAUGCCUAGGUGGGAUUAGCUAGUUGGUGAGGUAAGGGCUCACCAAGGCGACGAUCCCUAGCUGGUCUGAGAGGAUGAUCAGCCACACUGGAACUGAGACACGGUCCAGACUCCUACGGGAGGCAGCAGUGGGGAAUAUUGCACAAUGGGCGCAAGCCUGAUGCAGCCAUGCCGCGUGUAUGAAGAAGGCCUUGGUAAGUACUUUCAGAGGAGGAGUAUCGUU